CACACACACACACACAGAAGAUUUGGGUUAUCUGCUCUUCUACAAAAGCAGAAUUAACAAAUUGGUAUUUCCUAUGAAGGCUAUAGCAUCUAACUCUCUCAGCGUUUGCUAUGUUAUGUACAAGAAGGUAAUGAAAAUCAUGCAUCGUGUGACGGGAUUUUAACAAGCAUCUGAUCAUUUUCAAAAGGACAGAGGGUCAAGGUUUGGGAAGGACAUCAAUGCAUGUUUUCUUCUCUUCCAGCUGCUAAGAAAGGAAGAAGAUGCAACAUGACUGGGCACCUGGCAACUGUGUUCAGUCCAGAAUCUGUUGCUUUUCCAGAUUUGAAGUAGACACAGCAUUGUUCAUCAUGAUGGAUUUUUGCAGUCUGAUGGGCCUAGAUGUAGACUUAUGACAAACAACAUUACCAGCCUGGUCACUGAUUAUUCUGCUCCAGUUCAUACUAUGUAAAGGUAAAGAGACCCCUGACAGUUAAGACCAGUCGCGAACGACUCUGGGGUUGCGGCGCUCAUCUCGCUUUACAGGCCGAGGGAGCCAGUGUUUGUCCACUUAAGCAGACGGUUUUUCCAGGUCAUGUGGCCAGCAUGACUAAGCCGCUUCUGGCGCAACAGAACACCGACACCAGAGCAGCGCAUGGAAACACUGUUUACCUUCCCGCCGGAGCGGUACCUAUUAAUCUACUUGCACUUUUUUGGGUGCUUUCAAACUGCUAGGUUGGCAGGAGCUGGAACAGAGCAACGGGAGCUCACCCCGUCGCAGGGAUUCGAACCGCCGACCUUUUGAUCGGCAAGCCCUGGGCUCAGUGGUUUAGACCACAGUGCCACCCGCGUCCCAUUCAUUCUUUCAUUCAUACUUUGUAGAAGUUUCAAAAAACCUGUGUGAAUUCAGUGGUGUGCUAAAAUGGGCAUGAACUUUUCUUAGCCGGUAGAGAUUACAACCAAAAUCCACAAAAUCCAUUAUUUCCUAUGUGAAAGAAAAAGCACAUGUAUGUAGGGGCAUUCUUCUUCCUAAUGAAAGAGGACAAGAUAAGAGACAGGGUGGCCAUACGUCUGGAAUUUCUUGAACACAUCCAGAAUACUGCAGCCAGCGGCAGUGUCCACCCAAAAAAGCACAA